rnacentral:rRNA from 2 species
UACGGAGGGUGCAAGCGUUAAUCGGAAUUACUGGGCGUAAAGCGCGCGUAGGUGGUUCAGUCAGUCAGAUGUGAAAGCCCCGGGCUCAACCUGGGAAUUGCACCUGAUACUGCUGAGCUAGAGUACGGUAGAGGGUAGUGGAAUUUCCGGUGUAGCGGUGAAAUGCGUAGAGAUCGGAAGGAACACCAGUGGCGAAGGCGACUACCUGGACCGAUACUGACACUGAGGUGCGAAAGCGUGGGUAGCAAACAGG